rnacentral:rRNA from 1 species
GCGGCAUCUGCACGUAGCGUGAUAGGGGAUUCUACAGUGUCCAUACACAGUAUGGACUUUUGCCAAGAGUAAAGACCUUGGCGAAUAAGUGGUGGGCAAGACUGGUGCCAGCAGCCGCGGU